rnacentral:rRNA from 1 species
AUUGAACGCUGGCGGCAGGCCUAACACAUGCAAGUCGAGCGAGCGGCGGACGGGUGAGUAAUGUAUGGGGAACUGCCCGAUAGAGGGGGAUAACUACUGGAAACGGUAGCUAAUACCGCAUACUAUCGGAUGUACCCAUAUGGGAUUAGCUAGUAGGUGGGGUAAUGGCUCACCUAGGCGACGAUCCCUAGCUGGUCUGAGAGGAUGAGCAGCCACACUGGGACUGAGACACGGUCCAGACUCCUACGGGAGGCAGCAGUGUGGAAUAUUGCACAAGGGGCGCAAGCCUGAUGCAGCCAUGCCGCGUGUGUGAAGAAGGCCUUCGGGUUGUAAAGUACUUUCAGCGGGGAGGCGUUACCCACAGAAGAAGCACCGGCUAACUCCGUGCCAGCAGCCGCGGUAAUUC